AAUGGGCGCAAGCCUGAUCCAGCCAUGCCGCGUGAGUGAUGAAGGCCCUAGGGUCGUAAAGCUCUUCGCCUGUGAAGAUAAUGACGGUAGCAGGUAAAGAAACCCCGGCUAACUCCGUGCCAGCAGCCGCGGUAAUACGGAGGGGGUUAGCGUUGUUCGGAAUUACUGGGCGUAAAGCGCGCGUAGGCGGAUUAGUCAGUCAGAGGUGAAAUCCCAGGGCUCAACCCUGGAACUGCCUUUGAUACUGCUAGUCUUGAGUUCGAGAGAGGUAAGUGGAAUUCCGAGUGUAGAGGUGAAAUUCGUAGAUAUUCGGAGGAACACCAGUGGCGAAGGCGGCUUACUGGCUCGAUACUGACGCUGAGGUGCGAAAGUGUGGGGAGCAAACAGGAUU
rnacentral:rRNA from 1 species